rnacentral:rRNA from 1 species
GACGAACGCUGGCGGCGCGCCUAACACAUGCAAGUCGAACGAGCGAGAGAGAGCUUGCUUUCUCGAGCGAGUGGCGAACGGGUGAGUAACGCGUGAGGAACCUGCCUCAAAGAGGGGGACAACAGUUGGAAACGACUGCUAAUACCGCAUAAGCCCACGGCUCGGCAUCGAGCAGAGGGAAAAGGAGCAAUCCGCUUUGAGAUGGCCUCGCGUCCGAUUAGCUAGUUGGUGAGGUAACGGCCCACCAAGGCAACGAUCGGUAGCCGGACUGAGAGGUUGAACGGCCACAUUGGGACUGAGACACGGCCCAGACUCCUACGGGAGGCAGCAGUGGGGAAUAUUGCACAAUGGGGGAAACCCUGAUGCAGCGACGCCGCGUGGAGGAAGAAGGUCUUCGGAUUGUAAACUCCUGUUGUUGGGGAAGAUAAUGACGGUACC